rnacentral:rRNA from 1 species
AUACGGAGGAUCCGAGCGUUAUCCGGAUUUAUUAGGUUUAAAGGGUGCGCAGGCGGAACUGUAAGUCACCGGUGAAAUCCUACAGCUUAACUGUAGAACUGCCGGUGAUACUGCGAUUCUUGAGUAUAGUUGAGGUAGGCGGAAUGUGUAGUGUAGCGGUGAAAUGCAUAGAUAUUACACAGAACACCGAUUGCGAAGGCAGCUUACUAAACUAUUACUGACGCUCAUGCACGAAAGCGUGGGGAGCGAACAGGAUUAGAAACCCCGGUAGUCC